rnacentral:rRNA from 1 species
CCUACGGGUGGCAGCAGUCGUGAAUCAUUCACAAUGGGGGAAACCCUGAUGGUGCGACGCCGCGUGGGGGAAUGAAGGUCUUCGGAUUGUAAACCCCUGUCAUGUGUGAGCAACUUAAAAAGAUAGUACCACAAGAGGAAGCGACGGCUAACUCUGUGCCAGCAGCCGCGGUAAUACAGAGGUCUCAAGCGUUGUUCGGAAUCACUGGGCGUAAGGCGUUCGUAGGCUGUUUCGUAAGUCGUGUGUGAAAGGCGCGGGCUCAACCCGCGGACGGCACAUGAUACUGCGAGACUAGAGUAAUGGAGGGGGAACCGGAAUUCCCGGUGUAGCAGUGAAAUGCGUAGAUAUCGAGAGGAACACUCGUGGCGAAGGCGGGUUCCUGGACAUUAACUGACGCUGAGGCACGAAGGCCAGGGGAGCGAAAGGGAUUAGAUACCCCAGUAGUC